CCUACGGGGGGCAGCAGUGGGGGAUAUUUCACAAUUUUUUUAACCCUGCUGCCGCGCCGCCGCGUGGGUGAAGGAGCGUUUCGGCGCGUAAAGCCCUAUCGGCAGGGAAGAAGAAGGACGGUACCUGACUAAGAAGCCCCGGCUAACUACGUGCCAGCCGCCGCGGUAAUACGUAGGGGGCAAGCUGUAUCCGGAUUUACUGGGGGGAAAGGGGGCGCAGACGGCAGCGCAAGCAAGGAGUGAAAGCCCGGGGCCCAACCCCGGGACUGCUCUUGGAACUGCGCGGCUGGAGUGCAGGAGGGGCAGGCGGAAUUCCUGGUGUAGCGGUGAAAUGCGUAGAUAUCAGGAGGAACACCGGUGGCGAAGGCGGCCUGCUGGACUGCGACUGACGUUGAGGCCCGAAAGCGUGGGGAGCAAACAGGAUUAGAUACCCCAGUAGUC
rnacentral:rRNA from 1 species